CUCAGUGACCCUGCCAACAGCUCUAUGAGGGAAGGCCUGAUGACUCUCCUCUCACAGCUGAGGGGAUGGAGGCACUGAGAGGUCAAGGCCUUGCUCAAGAGUGUGCAGCCGGCUCCCUUAAGAGAAAUAAAUUCCAAGACAGAGAAGGUACAGAAGACUCUGGGAUCACCAGACUUCAGAGCAUGUUCAUGCCCUAUGAAGUAGAUACAAUCCUUAUCCAUACUAUAGAAGGGCUACAAAAAUUACAUAACCUGUCCAGGGUCACACAACCAGUGUGUGGUGAAGCCCCCACUGCACUGUGCUGAUACCAUGCUGCUUUAAUAAUCAUAGUUCCAAGGAAUUAUUUUGUAAUCUUCAUUGGAACAUAAAGAAGGCUGAGGGCCAAAAAUCUGAUACUUUUGAAUUGUGGAGAAGACUCUUGAGAGUCCUUUGGGCUGCAAGGAGAUCAAACCAAUCAAUCCAAAAGGAAAUC